GGUAAAACCCAACUACCCUCUCUUCUCCAACCACAGGAAAUACGUUUUUCUGCAACAUACAUAAAAACCGGCAAAGUGAAAGCAGUGAUUCUGAAAGGGUAAAGUUGGGAUAUUGCAAUUAGCUUUCAAGAAUUGAUUUUGGCCAGACGCAAAAGUUAGGAAUAGUUGCUUCGGCUAGAAUUGAUUCUAAGCUCCAAAAUCAAUUUUACAAUCCAGAUCCAAACAUCUUAAAAUUAUGCAAAUUCACGUUUGAACACUGUUGACGCGCGUUUGGCUGUGCAUAACGUAGAACCAAACAAGCACUUAGAUUCCUAACAUCCAUUCACUCUUCAUUUUGUAGCCUGACAUUCUUUUUCAUUUUGUGAUUUCAGAAUGGAAGGAUGUAUACCAAUGGAGGAAAUAUGGGCAAAAGGUGGACCAAAUAUAACCCUUGUCUUAUAGCAUAUUUCAAAUUCUCUUUUGCGCCACACUGCCCUGUCAAAAAGAAGGCUUGGUUUGCUGGAAAAAAAAAGUGGGGAAGAAAUUUGUUGGGUUCAAGGUUGGUCUAGAUGAUUUGAUUAGUUUCUAUUUCAAGAAACAAACCAGGCUAAAGAUUAAGCAAUAUUGGAGGCAUACUCACUAUUAUUCUUACUCUGCUAUCACUGGACCAAUUGGUAAGGAGUGUGCUGAUCUUUGGCCAAGGAUUGCAAGUGCUGCCAAUGCCAUUGUAUGAGUGGAAACAGGCAGAAAAUACAAUUAUACAUGAAAAUUUGAGAGAUAAUAUAUUUCAAAGACUACAUAUAUUCAUCAUGUCCUAAAUGAGAUUCAUGAAACUUCGUAGACUAAAGAACAUGAACCCAAUGUUUGCAUUAGUUUCAUGCAUACAGAAACAUACCAGCACACUAUUAGAAAUAAAAAUGACAAGAACAUCGGGUUAAAGAGAUAAAUGUAAUUUUAACAUACCAGCACACUUUUGAUGCAGUUUUAAAAUACUAACACACUUUUAACAUACCAGCACACUUUUUAUGCAGUUUUAACAUACAAGCACACUUUAAUUAACAUACCAACACACUUUUAACAUAUCAGCACACUUUUAACAUACCAACACACUUUAAUAUGAGGGUAGAAUGAGAAUAUUUUAAAAUAUGUUGGGGUAAAGAGAUAAAUGUAGGGGGUAGAAAAAAAAUUCUAAAAUUUUAUAGACUUAUAAAAUCUAACCAAGGAUCAAAUGUGGCCCAUCAUGGACAAGUUAUACUUGACCAUACUAAAUGCCACCAACAAAAGAAGGCUAAAGAUUGAAUGUUUUUUGAUGAGGCUUUAUGGUUGGAACACACAUUAGGUAGUGAGUAUUUAUUAGGGAUCUAAGUUUUCUCUCUUACUUUUUUGAGUGGUCACCAUUGAGAUUAAGGGAAAGUUUAGAAAUUAGAGUUUGUUUAUUGAUAGUUGAUAUAAAGAGUUGCUCUCUUCCUCAUACAUAGAUUAAUUAGAAGAAUUAGAAAAAAAUUCGCACAUGAAAUAUUUAGUAAUAAAUCUUGCAAGUAAAUGACAUAGGCUAGAAGACAUAUGCCAUGUCUUGAACAUUCUUAGGUUAAGGGAGGUCAAAACUAAGGAGUUUAAGGAAGAAAUUAGCAAAACUAAAACUUAUGAGUUUAAAGAUAUAUAGUAACAUUUCUAAUAAAAACACUAGUGAAAAAAUUAUGACCCCCUCUAUGCCCCGACUUUGAUGUACACUUUUGAUCUGACUAAUUAUAUACCAUCUAUGUUUCAGUAUGUUUAUGAUUUAUUUUUAAUGUUGAAAUUACUCUUUUGAUUUAGAAAGUGCUGAAAUUUUCUAUUUUUUUUGUUUACAAUGAGUUGGGGAUCGAACACAGGACUUAUAACAUACUACCCAAACCUAGUGACUUAAAGUGUUGGAAAUAUACUUUUUACUUACAUGAAUCAGAAUAGAAUCAUCUGUGAACUUGUAUUGUUAGACAUAAUGUUAAACUCAC